ensembl:ncRNA F13H6.14 ncRNA
AAAAAAAAACGAAAAAAGAGAGAGAAAAGCAUGCGAAAAGAAAAACGACUUGAAUGAGUUCUCUUGUUUUAAAGUAGUACUUCGAUUUU